rnacentral:tRNA from 1 species
GGGCCCGUAGCUCAGUUGGUUAGAGCAGACGGCUCAUAACCGUCAGGUCGGAGGUUCGAGUCCUCCCGGGCCCA